GGAUGACGGCCUUCGGGUUGUAAACCGCUUUCAGCAGGGACGAAGGGUUUCUGACGGUACCUGCAGAAGAAGCACCGGCUAACUACGUGCCAGCAGCCGCGGUGAUACGUAGGGUGCGAGCGUUGUCCGGAAUUAUUGGGCGUAAAGAGCUUGUAGGCGGUCCGUUGCGUCGGAAGUGAAAACUCAGGGCUUAACCCUGAGCCUGCUUUCGAUACGGGCGGACUUGAGGGAUGUAGGGGAGAACGGAAUUCCUGGUGGAGCGGUGGAAUGCGCAGAUAUCAGGAGGAACACCAGUGGCGAAGGCGGUUCUCUGGACAUUUCCUGACGCUGAGAAGCGAAAGCGUGGGGAGCAAACAGGCUUAGAUACCCUGGUAGUCCACGCCGUAAACGGUGGGCACUAGGUGUGGGAUCCAUUCCACGGAUUCCGUGCCGAAGCUAACGCAUUAAGUGCCCCGCCUGGGGAGUACGGCCGCAAGGCUAAAACUCAAAGGAAUUGACGGAA
rnacentral:rRNA from 1 species